AUGACCCCUGACCCCUGCAUCUCUGCUGCUGCUGCUGCUGCCCCUGUUACUGCUGACAUUGUUCAUGGCCAGUCUCUGACCUCCUCUGGUCCAGUGGUGAAGAGACCUGGAGAGGCAGUCACUCUGUCCUGUACUGUUUCCGGGUUUUCCAUGAGCAGCUACAAUGUGCACUGGAUCCGUCAGAAACCAGGACAGGAACUGGAGUGGAUUGGGUAUAUUGGUACAUUUGCCCAGUCUCUCCAGGGCCAGUUCUCCAUCACCAAAGACAGUAACACAGUGCACUUACAAGUGAAAAGCCUGAAAGCUGAGGACACAGCUGUUUAUUAUUGCGCUCGACAGCCACAGUCACACAUGAGACUACAGAGCUGUACAAAAACAUCUCAGGCAGUUUUGACUGAUUGA